rnacentral:rRNA from 1 species
CCGGACCUUACUGCUAUCCCGGUGGGACUAAGACAUGCGGGUUUAGCUUCUCUAGCUAUGUUGAGACCCGGCUUACCGCUCAGUUUGCUUUGGCUAACCUCCCCUACGGACAAGGGGCUCGGAGGAGGUGGGGCUAAUACUUGAUAGGUUAAAAUGCCUGCAAUGGUUUUUCACCUAAAGGGCUUUAGCCCCAUGCUUCUAACCUUCCCUGAGGAUGGGGCCGCGUCCGAUCCCUUGUUGGUGAGGGUCCCCCUCGGAAGCCUAAUUUCACCUCGGGCCGAGAAAGCCGUCUCCCCGAUAUGGGUCCUGAGACAAGGACCCAACCCCGACUGGGCGCAGCUAACCCAAAAACUCCACCAUGCACUAAAGUGUGACGGGGCUACCCCUAGUGCCAUCCGCUGAAGAUGGCUUUUCUUUGGUAUGCCUAGCCAGGGGAAUAGGGAGAGGGCCAGACUGCCGUCCUCCUCCUCUCUAUUACCUUCUCUCCGAGUGGUAGGGAUGAUUUUUGAGCUUAAAGCGGCCAUUCCCUCCUUAGGCUUUCUCCUGUUGAAAUCAUCUACCUACUGCUUGACUCCGGAGAGACUGAUAUAGGGUAUGAGAUGGGAGAGGUCGACUGUACUUCUGGGGUAGGGUUGAAAUCGUAUGAUCCCGGGAGGACCACCCUGGCUACAACCUGACGACUCGAACACUCUCCACUAUGAAUGACAAUAGCUGGAGGAGCGAACCGGAUUAGAUACACACCUAUGGAGAAUUAUUCACGAUGCCCCGAGGGUGUCCUAAUGGCUACGUGCCAUUAUCAGUGCCGCAAGUGAGCCAUCAAGCCAGCCGCCUAGCGCGACUCCAGUCGCAUGGCUGAAACUUAAUACGGAAUAGCCGGGAGCAU